AGCAAGGCAGAAAAGCAGCAGGCACAUUCCACUGGAGAGAGACGCCACAGGUGCAAUGAAUGUGGGAAAAGCUUCACUAAGAGUUCAGUACUCAUUGAGCACCAGAGAAUCCACACUGGGGAGAAGCCAUAUGAAUGUGAAGAAUGUGGGAAGGCCUUCAGCCGGAGGUCAAGCCUGAAUGAACAUCGGCGGAGCCACACUGGAGAGAAACCCUAUCAAUGUAAGGAGUGUGGGAAAGCCUUCAGUGCCAGCAAUGGCCUCACUCGACACAGAAGAAUCCACACAGGGGAAAAACCAUAUGAAUGCAAAGUGUGUGGGAAGGCUUUCCUCCUCAGCUCAUGCCUUGUUCAGCAUCAGAGGAUACACACUGGAGAGAAGCGCUAUCAGUGUCGUGAGUGUGGCAAAGCCUUCAUUCAGAAUGCAGGGCUUUUCCAGCAUCUCCGAGUCCACACUGGUGAGAAACCCUAUCAGUGCAGUCAGUGCAGUAAACUCUUUAGUAAGCGGACACUUCUUAAGAAACAUCAGAAAAUCCACACUGGAGAGAGACCAUAAGGGUGAUGUUUGGGAAAGCCUUCAGUCAUCAUUGCAACCUUAUUAGGCAUUUUAGAAUCCAUACUGUUCCAGCAGAACUGGACUAAUUCUGUGGACCCUCAGACCCCUAAAUGGGGCCGUCUUGGAAAUCAAAACCUGAAUCAGAAUAUUUCAAAAGAGAGGAAAUAAAAGUUCAGCUUAAAACUGUUCUGCCCUAAACCUUUGUCUUUGAAGUUUAUUUUUAAAGCGUUAAAGAAUACAUA
rnacentral:sRNA from 1 species